rnacentral:rRNA from 1 species
CGUAGGGGGCAAGCGUUAUCCGGAUUUACUGGGUGUAAAAGGGAGCGUAGACGGCACUGUAAGUCUGAUGUGAAAGGCAGGGGCUCAACUCCUGGACUGCAUUGGAAACUACAGAGCUUGAGUGCCGGAGGGGUAAGCGGAAUUCCUAGUGUAGCGGUGAAAUGCGUAGAUAUUAGGAGGAACACCAGUGGCGAAGGCGGCUUACUGGACGGUAACUGACGUUGAGGCUCGAAAGCGUGGGGAGCAAACAGGAUU